rnacentral:tRNA from 1 species
CCGGUAGCUCAGUGGUAGAGCAACAGACUACCUUGCAGGUUCGAAUCCUGCUCUGCGUA